rnacentral:rRNA from 1 species
UUCAAUGUGGAAAUUUCACACUAGAGGUGUCAGAAAAGUUACCACAGGGAUAACUGGCUUGUGGCAGCCAAGGUUCAUAGCGACGUUGCUUUUUGAUUCUUCGAUG